ensembl:lncRNA
GUUUCAAGUACGAUACACCGUCAAGACUCUCAUAGCUUUGCUUUCAGCCAGGGAGCGGAGUAAACACAGUAUGGCUAUGGAAAAGGUGUCGGACAAUCAAACUCGCCAGCUGCUUAGGCGAGAGCUCCUACGUUGGUCAGCAGCAGCCCUCUGCACCGCAGCGACGCACCGAUAAGGAGUGGGACACCGGCCUUGGUAGGACUUCUGUAACCCCACGGAAAUGUUUGUCACCUUGCCUCUAGCCGACCGAAGCCACUGCCAGGCGAGGGACCUGAAGCCAACGCGUGAGUCGUGGAUUGCGCGUACAAUACGUUGGUGUCACUACCAAGCCAAAAAGGAUCUUUCUUCUCACCUUAUCUGGGUUAGGCUACGCGAUCCAAGGAGGCUGCCCGCCGACAGACUCCCAAAACCCUGGAAUGCUGCCACUUGUUCCUCCACAGACUCGGUAUACUCACUUUGCUGCCGAUUGCUGUCAGGUGUCGAAGCCUGUGCGUACGAGCGAGUGGUGACUGCCCGCACGAACACCCAAGCCUCCGCACCUUCACCUCGCCCACCAGGUCCAGGAUGGAUUUCUGCUGCAGCCUGACAGCGGUAAUCUCUCCGGAGAGAAGGUCAAGCGACGUCUUUAGGUCGUUGACUUCCUCAAUCAUUGGUUG